AAGCAUGACCAUUCUUCAAGUAUUGGAAUUCAGUCUGCUAUUGUGAUUUAGGCUAACUUCUCAACUUUUCGAACCAGAUUAAAAUACAACAACAACAACAACAACAACAACAACAACCCAGUAUAAUCCCACUUAAUGGGGUCUGGGGAGGGUAGUAUGUACGCAGACCUUACCCCUACCUUGGGGUAGUGGGGUAGAGAGGCUGUUUCCAGAUAGACCCCCGGCAUCCUUCCCUCCAAGAACUUCCCACCUAUCUUACUUAGUGAGGUCUGGGAGGAUAAUGUGUAUGCAGACCUUACCCAUACCCUUGGAUAGAGAGGCUAUUUCCAAAUAUACCCCCGGCAUACUUACCUCCAAGAACUUCCCACCUUGCUCUUGGGGAGACUCGAACUCACAAUCUCUCGAUUGGAAGUGGGGGUUGCUUACCAUCAGAGCAACCCCUCUUGUCGAACCAGAUUAAAAUAGAGUUGGAAAUUUUAUUUCAGCAAUUGUAGUUUACUUGUUAUGAUCCUUUAUGCAAAUUGGAGUCUUCUCUAUGGCUGGAAUUUAGUUUGAUAAGUAGCUGCUUUUCAUUAGAUUCCUGGAUAGAGAGAAGAUUAUGUUGUGCUUGUUUCGUGCCUCCUUGGUUCUUUGUAUCUAUCUUCUGUUCUCUUUUUUCUUAUUGCACAAUGUGCGUCUAUACUGCAUUCGUACAAUCACAUAAUGUUAGAAGGACAAGAUAACCGUCUUUCAUCAUAUGGAUGUCGACUGACUGAUCCUUUACUACUGAAAAGCUGCGUGAUAGUCUGGUGCCUUACUUAGAUUUGGCUUUGUAUAUCCUUGGACAUUAUCUCAACUCUGGUGUAUUUAACCUUCGCCAAUGUUGUUGUUGGUCAUUUAAUAGGGAUAAAGCAUGUCCCACCAACCAGGAGAUGAUGCUGAAUACAUGGCAGAUGAAUAUGAAAUGGAGGAUAUAGAUGACGAUAUGGAUGAUGAGUUCCAUGGCAGAGAUAUGGGUGGCUCUGAUUCAGAUGUAGAUGAGUAUGACUACAUGGUUUGUGAAUUCCUCCCUGAAAAUCAUUUAUUUAUACAAGGACUUGUUAGAUUUAUGCAGUUGUUGUGAUGAGUGUGCGUAAAUUUUUUGAAUUUCUGUUUGUUUGUUUCUGGAUUAGAAUAAUAAAAUGCAAGAUACCUCUGCUGCUGAGGCAAGGAGAGGCAAGGACAUUCAAGGGAUCCCCUGGGAAAGGCUUAGCAUAACCAGGGAGAAAUACAGGCAAACGAGAUUAGAGCAGUAUAAGAACUAUGAGAAUAUUCCUCAGUCUGGGGAGGCAUCAGAGAAGGUAAAUGUAUUUGUGGUUUUCUUACUUCGUCAGCUCUGUGCCCAUUGCUGACAUUGUUGUCUUUGUUUCUUUUUGCUUGUCAACAGGAAUGCAGUGCCACAAAGAAAGAGUGUUCAUAUUAUGAAUUCAGACGUAAUUCUCGAUCUGUUAAAUCAACAAUUUUACACUUCCAGGUAAUGUACUGGCUCUUGUCACAUUUUUCUUUACAUUCAGCUUCCUUCAUUGUAUGCGAGGGACUAGGACCCUAUAUGGAGAACAAGUUCACACUAUUUUUUAAGAUGACGUUUUUGUGGGUUUCCUGGCAUAAAAACUGAAUACCAGAGCCACAGGGAUAAGCAUCAUAAUGUGUUCGUAACCUAUAUCAAAUUUGAUGUGCUGCAUGAUACUGUAACCCUAGUUGAGCCAACAAAUCAGUUUAAUUUGCACGUUUGUUAAUUGUCUACUUAUAAUAAAGUGCAUGCUAUCAUGCUUUCUGGCAACAACAAAACCUAUUCUAAAGUUUUUUGUCGUGUGUAUGUAGCUGAGGAACUUGGUCUGGGCAACUUCCAAGCAUGAUGUGUACCUUAUGUCACACUUCUCGGUCAUUCAUUGGUCAUCCUUGACUUGCGCUAAAAACGAAGUUCUCAAUGUAUCAGGGCAUGUAGCACCAUGUGAGGUGAGUGUUUUGGACAUGGAAUCUACCAAACAUUUAGUUUAGGACAUUCAAUUAUAACCUUCCACAUUUUCUUGCUUCUUUUCCAUUAUAGAAACAUCCUGGAAGCCUUUUAGAAGGAUUUACGCAGACACAAGUCAGCACACUUGCAGUGAAAGAUAACUUGCUUGUUGCUGGGGGAUUUCAAGGGGAACUUAUUUGCAAGGUAUGUCAUUCCCUUACAUUGGUUUCUGCAUUUGGUUUUUCUUGGAUUAGCUUUUGCCAUCCACAGUGGCAGCAUUUAUUCUUCGCUCUUUGUUUGUGUACUUGAUAUAUGGUUGCCACUUGACAGACCCACAUAUUAUCAACAACAACAGCAACAACAACCCAGUACAAUCCCACAUAGUGGGGUCUGGGGAGGGUAGCAUGUACGCAAACCUUACCUCUACCCUGGGUAGAGAGGCUGUUUCCAAAUAGACCCCCGGCAUCCUUCCCUCCAAGAACUUCCCACCUUGCUCUUGGGGAGACUCGAACUCAGCAUGUACGCAAACCUUACCUCUAC
rnacentral:lncRNA from 1 species